UACGAUCUUCCUUCAAUGUGU
rnacentral:piRNA from 1 species